rnacentral:tRNA from 1 species
AGGAUAUGUGCCCGAAAGAUAGGAGCCACUUUGAUAGAGUGGCCCAUAGAGGCUCAAACCCCCUCAUAUCCUG